UUAAUUUUUUCUGCUAUUAUUAAAUUUGUCUUCAUUUUUCCAGACGUUGCUGAAAUUAUUUCGCGAUCUGCGCUGAAGUUCUCUGUUAUCAGAUACCCCGUGCGGGGUUGCCAGUCCCCCAUCGGGCGCCUCCCCAGGUGGCGGAUAGGGGAAUGCUCCGGGGAAAUAGAAUACUCGGGGCGGAUCAAAACUAGCACGGGACACGACAGAACUCCAUGUUAGGAGCGGUACUCCAAUAGCGUACUGACCCAGAUUGGGCGGCUGAUCCCCAAACCUAGGAAAGCAACGGGAAACUACCUAGGUACAACACUGUUCCCCAGGAUACUUGUUAUGGCGGAAAACGAAAAUACCACGGCCGUCAGUCUCGGCACCACUUAAAUUGGGACCCAGACAGCAUUAUUAUCCAUUGGACGUCCAUAGGAACGGACUUCGGGCAGCCGCAUGUCCAGUGGAUGUCCAUAAUUUGUCCGAUUGAUGUCCAAUUGACAUCCAUUUUUCUAUACAAACAUCACAGAAUCCUACCUCCUCCGGAUGUUCAAAAUUCGUGAUCCUAUGGAUAACUUCUGGAGGUCCUGAUGACAUGACAUGAUAUUGUAGCGGAAAUGGCCUGGGGUACUCACGUUUGAAAUGGAGGUAUCAAAAUUCAUGGUAUUUCAGUAAAUGGG